UGAGAGGCCACGACCUGCGAACCGACA
rnacentral:piRNA from 1 species